rnacentral:rRNA from 1 species
CACGGGGUUGCGAGCGUUGUCCGGAAUUACUAGGCGUAAAGGGCAGGCAGGCGGAUCCAUAAGUUUAUCGUUUAAGGCGUCGGCUUAACCGGCGUAGGGCGGUAGAUACUGUGGAUCUGGAAUGCGGUUGGGGAAGACAGAAUUCCUGGUGUAGCGGUGGAAUGCGCAGAGAUCAGGAGGAAUACCGAAGGCGAAGGCAGUCUUCCAAGCCGUUAUUGACGCUCAACUGCGAAGGUGUGGGUAUCAAACAGGAUUAGAUACCCGGGUAGUUCCUGAG